UACGUAGGGGGCAAGCGUUGUCCGGAAUCACUGGGCGUAAAGCGCGCGCAGGCGGUCAUCUACGUCUGGGGUGAAAGCCCGGAGCUCAACUCCGGGACUGCCUUGGAUACGGGAUGACUUGAGGAUCGGAGAGGCAAGGGGAAUUCCACGUGUAGCGGUGAAAUGCGUAGAGAUGUGGAGGAACACCGGUGGCGAAGGCGGGUCUCUGGGCCGUAACUGACGCUGAGGAGCGAAAGCAUGGGGAGCGAACAGG
rnacentral:rRNA from 1 species